GAUGAACGCUGGCGGCGUGCUUAACACAUGCCAGUCGAACGAUGAAGCCCAGCUUGCUGGGUGGAUUAGUGGCGAACGGGUGAGUAACACGUGAGUAACCUGCCCUUAACUCUGGGAUAAGCCUGGGAAACUGGGUCUAAUACCGGAUAGGAGCGUCCACCGCAUGGUGGGUGUUGGAAAGAUUUAUCGGUUUUGGAUGGACUCGCGGCCUAUCAGCUUGUUGGUGAGGUAAUGGCUCACCAAGGCGACGACGGGUAGCCGGCCUGAGAGGGUGACCGGCCACACUGGGACUGAGACACGGCCCAGACGCCUACGGGAGGCAGCAGUGGGGAAUAUUGCACAAUGGGCGCAAGCCUGAUGCAGCGACGCCGCGUGAGGGAUGACGGCCUUCGGGUUGUAAACCUCUUUCAGUAGGGAAGAAGCGAAAGUGACGGUACCUGCAGAAGAAGCACCGGCUAACUACGCG
rnacentral:rRNA from 1 species